AGAGCGAACGCUGGCGGCAGGCCUAACACAUGCAAGUCGAACGAACUCUUCGGAGUUAGUGGCGGACGGGAGAGUAACACGUGGGAACGUGCCUUUAGGUUCGGAAUAACUCAGGGAAACUUGUGCUAAUACCGAAUGUGCCCCCCGAUUCAUUUUGGGGUGGGAAAGAUUUAUCGCCUUUAGAGCGGCCCGCGUCUGAUUAGCUAGUUGGUGAGGUAAAGGCUCACCAAGGCGACGAUCAGUAGCUGGUCUGAGAGGAUGAUCAGCCACAUUGGGACUGAGACACGGCCCAAACUCCUACGGGAGGCAGCAGUGGGGAAUCUUGCGCAAUGGGCGAAAGCCUGACGCAGCCAUGCCGCGUGAAUGAUGAAGGUCUUAGGAUUGUAAAAUUCUUUCACCGGGGACGAUAAUGACGGUACCCGGAGAAGAAGCCCCGGCUAACUUCGUGCCAGCAGCCGCGGUAAUACGAAGGGGGCUAGCGUUGCUCAGAAUUACUGGGCGUAAAGGGAGCGUAGGCGGACAUUUAAGUCAGGGGUGAAAUCCCGGGGCUCAACCUCGGAACUGCCUUUGAUACUGGGUGUCUUGAGUAUGAGAGAGGUGUGUGGAACUCCGAGUGUAGAGGUGAAAUUCGUAGAUAUUCGGAAGAACACCAGUGGCGAAGGCGACACACUGGCUCAUUACUGACGCUGAGGCUCGAAAGCGUGGGGAGCAAACAG
rnacentral:rRNA from 1 species